GACGAACGCUGGCGGCGUGCUUAACACAUGCAAGUCGAACGGAAAGGCCCUGCUCUUGUGGGGUGCUCGAGUGGCGAACGGGUGAGUAACACGCGAGUAACCUGCCCUUGUCUUUGGGGUAACUCCAGGAAACUGGGGCUAAUACCGGAUAGGAUCUCUUGCUGCAUGGGGGGGGUUGGAAAGUUUCGGCGGUUGGGGAUGGACUCGCGGCUUAUCAGCUUGUUGGUGGGGUAGUGGCUUACCAAGGCUUUGACGGGUAGCCGGCCUGAGAGGGUGGCCGGCCACAUUGGGACUGAGAUACGGCCCAGACUCCUACGGGAGGCAGCAGUGGGGAAUAUGGCACAAUGGGCGGAAGCCUGAUGCAGCAACGCCGCGUGCGGGAUGACGGCCUUCGGGUUGUAAACCGCUUUCGCCUGUGACGAAGCGUGAGUGACGGUAAUGGGUAAAGAAGCACCGGCUAACUACGUG
rnacentral:rRNA from 1 species